GCAACGUCCCUCGCAGAUCACAAGACGUGCCCUCAAAAUAGGCCACCCUGAAAGGGAAAGGAACCCAUCACCAUAUUGUGCAAAGUUAAGUGUACAAAAUGGACUGUUAAAGAAUAUAUUUUAAAACCUGAGAGAAAAUAAAUGUCUGAACCCAAAUCAGAGAAUAUAAAUGAGUGACAACUCAAUGAGGAGAGGAAAUUCCCAGCAAAGAGAUUGUGACAGCAUGAGAAAAAAAAGAUGAGGUUCUGGAGGCUGGGAGUUGAAGAUAAGGAUACCAGCUGGGUACGAUCCAUGCCCAGUUUUCCAUGCAGACUGCUGACUUUCUUAUAUAUCCUCGCACUGUGAAAAGAAGGUUAAAUACCUGGGAGUGAGAUUGCUGUGUCAUAUGACGACUGUAGUUCAUUCAGGAGACAACAACGCCGCAGGUGAUCUGGAGGCUCCUGGAGGACCUCAGCGACUCAGGUCCAGUCCAAGGAGGGCCGCAGAUCAGGCUGAAGAAGGAUGGAUCCACAUGCUUAGAGGAGAUCGAGAAAUGCAGUGCUGUCUUUAAAGAUACAUAGGAGCAAGACACCUCUAUGAAAUGAGGUGCUACAAGAAGGAAAUUUGGAGCUUGAAGAAAAGAAAGGUCUCCAGAAACUAUAGCACGGACAAGACUGAAAUUGUUUUAAAAAUAGCUAAUUCUUAAAAACUGAAUCUAAACUCUGCUUGUGAAAUGCUCCUUGGAGCAGUAUAACAAGUAAAAGUCCAGUAAGACCACAAAGGUUCCAGCGAACACCACCAGGAAACUCCAGUGAUAACCCCAAGCUUGUUGAACCUUGGCAGCUCCUGUGAAGGAGAUCCCAGUCUACAGGAAGCUCUGCACAUAGAAUGAGACGGGCUUCACUGCAUCUCUUACUCUUCUUGGGGUCCACUGUGGCUUCUAAACUAAAGGUGCACCUGAAAAGAGAGAUGCAGCAGAGAAAUGCCACAGAAAGGGGAGCUGGAGAGAAUCAAAGCAUGAGAGGAAUUCAACCUGCUGUCACUGGAAGGGGUCCAGAUGGAACGCUUGAGAAGAAACGUGUGUAGCAUCUAGGAGUAAAGACUCGCCCUGGCUGACAGCUAGUAAGGAAAUGGGAACCUCAGUGCUGCAGCCUCAAAGAAUUGACUUUAACCCACAGCCUGUGUGCACUUAGAAGCGGAUGCAUUCACAAAUCUUCCAGAAGGGAAUGGAGCCCCAUUGACACCUUGAUUUUAACCUUCUGAGAUUCUAAGCAGGGAAUCUAGAUGAGACACGCUGUGAGAUAAUACAUAGGUAUUGUUUUAAGCUGCUAAAUUUGUGGUAAUUUCUUAUGACAGCAAUUUAAAAAACUGAUACAAAGCCAGUAACCCAAAUCCUGUAGUCUUCCAUCCUUCACAAUUUCCUACUGGCACCUCCACUCUGCAGUUCCAAUCCAUUUUACCUCCAAAGCAUGGACUGACCCCAUCUUCUCAUCUCCCCAGAAUUCUACUUCAUCUAUCAUCUGGACCAUCCCAAACUGUACCCCUGUUUUGUUUUGACUUUUGACUCUCAAUCUGUUCUCCAAACCGUAGCCGAUUAUUUACUUUAAAAAGUAUGUAAUCAUGACAUUUCUUUGCACACAGUCUUUCAGUGUUUCCACAUAAGCAAAGGAUUCCAGUUCAGCCCCACUUUAACGCAAAGACAUCCAUGACAGAUCCUAUCUCCCCCUCCAGCCUUUUAUAGCACUCUCUCUGCCUUCCUCUUUAUGUGCCUAUAUGGAGAAUUGUAACUUCCCUUCAGUACCACUCCUAGACCCAGGCGUGCAGGGUAUCUGUGCUGAGCUUAGAUCUUCAGAGGCCUCAGCUCUGGUGCUGCCUGGUCUUCCCACAGGUGAGGAAUCUAGGUAGCUGAGCAGAAAUCACCUGUAGCCCAAGUUUCCUUCUUGUGGACCAUGCCUCAGAUGUUUGGUAUCCCGACUUCCCUGGACAAAGGACCCAAAACCCUUUCCAAAGCUGGCAUGGGUUAAUUUUCUGAAUUUAUGCUCUGAAGGAUAGCACAUGCCUCUGGGCAAGUGUGAGGUAGGCUGGCCAAGAGGCAAAUGUUAGCAGUGUUGCCAAAAAGGAGGAGGUGGGCUGUGGAACCAGGGGUAAGAAAACAGGAAGAUGGAUGUCAGUCUGUUUAGGGGGUCCUAUCACAAAAUACCACAGACCGGGUGACUUAAAUCACAGAAAUUUAUUUCUAACAGUUCUGAACGCUGCUAAGACAAAGAUCAAGGUGCCAGCAGAUCCGGUGUCUGGUGAGAACUUUCUUCCUGGUUUCCUCACAUGGUGUUGUGGGUCGGGGAGGUGGGCAGAAAACUAAAACAAGGGUGUUAAUCCCAUCAUGAGGGUUCCACCCUCAUGACCCACUUACCUCCCAGAGACCCCAUCCCAGAUAUCAUUAUACUGAGGAUUAGAGUUUCUGCAUGUGAAUUUUGGAGGGACUCAAACUUUCAGCCCAUAGCAGUAGACCAUCGGUUAAGGGCUGUCUUUCCUUACCAUCAUAUUUCUAGCCUGGAAUUCCAAUAAAUUCUAAAAUUCCAAAUUAGAACCCAGCCUUCCAAGAUGUUAUGAAGAUAUAUUUGUCAAGGUAGGAGCAUAAACCUUGUUUUACAUAGCAGGUGGUUAGCUUGAUUUAUAGUGUCUAACUAUUUAGAUGUAAGAUAUGCUACCUCCAUUUGCACUUUUACCCCAGUCUCCACAAACGGUGGGGGUAUGUUUCCCCCACAUACCAUGUCUUCAUGUUGUUUCUUCCUGUGUUCCAUGUUCUUCUCAAUGCCUGGAAAGGUCUGCCCACCAUUCUUCACCUGGCUAACUCUCACACAUGGCUCAGGACUCAGGUUAGUGGUGGCCUCCCCCAGAAAGCCUUCAAUGAUUCUCCAGUGCCCCCUCCACUCAACAUGCACGUAUGUGAAAUUAUUAAAACACUCCCACACUGUAAGACAAAGAAUAGAGACUACAUUUUAUCCAUUUUGUUUCACUACCAUGGUGUCUGGUGCAUGGUGUGGGUUUAAUUAAAGUUUAUUGAACUGAAUACUGAAAGCAAAUGGUAAAUGCUUCAUUCAGAAUAUAUUCAACAAGCAUUUAAGGAAUAAUAGUACAAAGUGAAGAAGAAAAUUACUGGGGGUGGGAGAGGACAGAUGUGGCAGAUCCCUUGUUCCAGGUCACACAAUAGUAAUAAUCAUUGCCAUUUCUUGAACACUAACCAUUUGCCAGAAACAGCACGAAGUAUUUCACAUGGGUUACAUUUAAUCCUUCCAACCCCAAGAGGUAGAAACUAUUAUAUCUUCAUUUUACAAAUGAGAAAACUGAGGCUUACAUAGGUUAAGUGAUUUGCCUAAAGACUCAAAGACAGAAAGGGCUCCAAAGCCUCUGCUUUAACUAUGGGAGCAUGCUGCUUCCUGACACCUCCCAUGCACAGAAAAGGGAGCUAGACCCUUGUCCUUUUUUUUUUUUUUUUUUAAAGAGAAGAUACAAAUGGUAAUUCCCAAGGGCAUGAGUAAAUGUUAGUUGAAAGUUAAUUGCAUGUGCUUCAGAAAUAAAUGUGGGAACAUCUGAAAUGUGUAAAUAACAAUAAGAUUGCAAAGUAAGGAGGACCAUUUGGAUUACAAUAAGGAAAUGAUCAUGUUCUCUGCUGACAGUGAGCUGGGGGUGUGUCCCAGAGGAAGUUGGGAGGUCUUGUCUGGAGGCCCGCGCUGCAGUCGACUGGAAAGUUCUUAACACAGGAUGUGAGAAGGGAAUGUAUGGGGGCUGAAUUGGUCUUCAAAUCCAAAAUGUAAUACCAACACAAGUUUUACAUUAAAAUAUUUAAAGAUAGAAA
rnacentral:lncRNA from 1 species